rnacentral:rRNA from 1 species
GGAUUACCUCAGUAACGGCGAGUGAAGCGGUAACAGCUCAAAUUUGAAAUCUGGCCUCACGGUCCGAGUUGUAAUUUGUAGAGGAUGUUUCGAGCAUGGUCUGGCCUAAGUUCCUUGGAACAGGACGUCAUAGAGGGUGAGAAUCCCGUAUGCGGCCAGGUGCCUACGCUCAUGUGAAGCUCCUUCGACGAGUCGAGUUGUUUGGGAAUGCAGCUCAAAAUGGGUGGUAAAUUUCAUCUAAAGCUAAAUAUUGGCCAGAGACCGAUAGCGCACAAGUAGAGUGAUCGAAAGAUGAAAAGCACUUUGGAAAGAGAGUUAAACAGUACGUGAAAUUGUUGAAAGGGAAGCGCUUGCAACCAGACUUGCGCGCGGCUGAUCAUCCGGUGUUCUCACUGGUGCACUCGGUCGCGCUCAGGCCAGCAUCGGUUUUGGUGGUUGGAUAAAGGUCCUAGGAAUGUAGCUCCUCUCGGGGAGUGUUAUAGCCUAGGGCGCAAUGCAGCCUACCGGGACCGAGGACCGCGCUUCGGCUAGGAUGCUGGCGUAAUGGUUGUAAGCGGCCCGUCUUGAAACACGGACCAAGGAGUCUAACAUCUAUGCGAGUAUUUGGGUGUCAAACCCAUAUGCGUAAUGAAAGUGAACGGAGGUGAGAACCCUUAAGGGUGCAUCAUCGACCGAUCCUGAUGUCUUCGGAUGGAUUUGAGUAAGAGCAUAGCUGUUGGGACCCGAAAGAUGGUGAACUAUGCCUGAAUAGGGUGAAGCCAGAGGAAACUCUGGUGGAGGCUCGCAGCGGUUCUGACGUGCAAAUCGAUCGUCAAAUUUGGGUAUAGGGGCGAAAGACUAAUCGAACCAUCUAGUAGCUGGUUCU